GGUGCUGGCGCAGGCGCUAAGAUGUUUAUAAUAAUUUAAGCUUAACGCUCGGAAAAUACUUUCUAAGGAGCAAGGAAAUGCUUUUUCUGAUGAGAUGGAUCCAGAUGUGGACCACGGCUCACCACAGGAUGACUCCCGCCAGCAUUCCCUGCAGACUCUCAAAGGGCAUCCAUGCAGUGGCGCGUGUGACACUCCACGCAGCAAGGCUCUGCCGCAGGGCCUGGUGUGGACUAAACAGAGUCGGUUAGAAAAGUGUUCUGAUGCAGUCACAGCUUUCAAGGCCUCAGCUUGCAUAAUUACAAGGGGCAGGAGCUGAAAUUUCAUCUGUGCGACAUCAGCUCAAAAGGAGCCGAGACUGGAAGAAACC
rnacentral:lncRNA from 1 species